rnacentral:rRNA from 1 species
UGGUAUGUACUAGCUUGCUGAUUCCUCCUUCUUGUAGAACCGUAAUGCCAUUAAUUUGGUGUUGCGGGGAAAUAGGACUGUUACUUUGAAAAAAUUAGAGUGUUUAAAGCAGGCUAGCGCCUGAAUACAUUAGCAUGGAAUAAUGAAAUAGGACGUUCGAACCUAUUUUGUUGGUUUCUAGGAUUGACGUAAUGAUUAAUAGGGAUAGUUGGGGGCAUUAGUAUUCAAUUGUCAGAGGUGAAAUUCUUGGAUUUAUUGAAGACUGACUACUGCGAAAGCAUUUGCCAAGGAUGUUUUCAUUAAUCAAGAACGAAAGUUAGGGGAUCGAAGACGAUCAGAUACCGUCGUAGUCUUAACCAUAAACUAUGCUGACUAGGGAUCGGAUGAUGUUAAUUUUUUAAUGACUCAUUCGGCGCCUUACG